UACAGGGGGUGCAAACGUUGCUCGGAAUCAUUGGGCGUAAAGCGCACGUAGGCGGUUCGUUAUGUCGGAUGUGAAAGCCCUUGGCUUAACCGAGGAAGUGCAUCCGAAACUGGCGAGCUAGAGUACUAAAGAGGAUCGCGGAAUUCCCGGUGUAGAGGUGAAAUCCGUAGAUAUCUGGAGGAACACCGGUGGCGAAGGCGGCAUCCUGGACCGGCAUUGACGCUGAUGAGCGAAAGCCAGGGGAGCAAACGGG
rnacentral:rRNA from 1 species